CAGUCCAUACUAAUUCCUGCAGGUUAAUGCCCAUACCUGUUGGGUUUCGCUUGUGGACCAGAUUGAACUGGGAAACCCUUAUAAAGAUAUGAGUUUACUGUUGGUCUGCUCAUAACAGGAGUUCUCUCAACACAU
rnacentral:snoRNA from 1 species